rnacentral:rRNA from 1 species
AGAUUGAACGCUGGCGGCAUGCCUAACACAUGCAAGUCGAACGGGAGUAGCAAUACUCUAGUGGCGGACGGGUGAGGAAUACGUAGGAAUUUGCCCUUAAGUGGGGGAUAACCCGGGGAAACCCGGAUUAAUACCGCAUGACCUCGAAAGAGCAAAGUGGGGGAUCGCAAGACCUCACGCUUUUGGAGAAGCCUACGUCGGAUUAGCUAGUUGGUGAGGUAAUGGCUCACCAAGGCGACGAUCCGUAACUGGUCUGAGAGGAUGAUCAGUCACACCGGAACUGAGACACGGUCCGGACUCCUACGGAGCAGCAGUGGGGAAUAUUGGACAAUGGGCGCAAGCCGAUCCAGCAAUGCCGCGUGUGUGAAG